rfam:Lepisosteus oculatus linkage group LG5, whole genome shotgun sequence.
GUCUCGUUGGCGUCGUAGGUAGCGCAUCAGACUCAUAAUCUGAAGGUCGUGAGUUCGAUCCUCACACGGGGCA